AGAGACUUUUUGCUUCUACAAGAGAGAAACUACUUUUUAAGAGGUUAAGUUCAAGUAUGAACACUAAGAGUCAGAAAAAGCUACUAGAGUUAUUCUUAGUUUAACUGCUCUUAAAACUGCAGGCUGGGAGACGAAUUAGAUUGUAUCUGUAUGCCUCAUGUUCUACAGGAGCUGCUGUUGUUACGGCUCAGCUAAGCCAUGAAAUUCCCUUGGACAGUUUCUUACUGUCAUCUGAGUGUCAAAUUAUUCUUCUAUUCAUUGUAACCGUUCAUUUAGAAGUGUGGCUGGUCUUUGAGUUAAGUUAGGGCAGCAGAAUAGCGACCGCUGCUUUGAACACCUAUGCAAGUUCCUCAGUUUAGGAUGUCCCGCAGAACUGCUCCUUUAUUCACAGCGGGCUGUAAAAUAGUCUAAUUAUUUUUUUCUCCUAAUAAUCUCAAAAUUCAGGCGAUAGUACCCUGCCCUCAGACCCCCGAAGACAGCAGCAGAUGUGAAUCUGAACUGUAAUCUGGGAAUCCUUCUGCGAAGCUCUUUGCCUUCCUGCCUCCAGAGAUGCAAGCAAAUGGCUUGCAGAGGGGGCUGUCCUGUUUCUGGUGUCCAAGCUCUUGCUUCCCUGGAGUAAGAUCACAGAACCGUGUAAUAGGGGAAAGAGGAUUUGAGCUAUCUAGUUUCUUCUGGCCCCAAGAAGCUUCGCUGGAACCUUAUUGAGGAAUCUGUUGCUUGUUGAACACCCUGAGAUGUGCCUCCUUUGUGUGCAUAGACGCACACAAAUCUUUGCCGGAAGAGAAGCCCCUGAAUCUUGGAGAGCAGGCCUGGGAACUCCAAUGAGAUCUUCUGGAGCCAAAAGCGACUAGGUUAUAUUACUUCUGUAUUGCAAACAAACUGAUCCAAGAACACCCUGAACAGCAGAUGAAGAACCAUUAUCUUCUCUCUGCCUAUUCAGCACUGGCCAUCUGAUGCAGGCUGAUUUUCCAAAAAGUAUUUUCCUGUAUUGCCCUCAGCAAUGUUUAUCAGGAAGUUGUUUUUCUUCCUACAGGUGUGUUUUGCUGGAGCACUGGCAUUUUCUCUUUUAAAACUGACAUAAAAAUAGAUUUUUAUCAAAAAAAAAAAAAACCUGGAUGAGAAGGUCAGUUCUAUUUUAAGUUUAUGUUGAUCACUCUGAGAUGGUUCAUUCUAUUAGUUGGCAGUUUCCUGCUUUCUCUUCCUGUUUUAUGAUUAAGUGAAUCCUGUUUCUCCCCUGAAAAUUAAGUGAAUCCUGUUUCUCCCCUGAAAAUUAAGGAUAAACGUAUUAAAGACAUUAUUUCUGGGCUAUAGUGUAGUCCUUCUUUUUUG
rnacentral:lncRNA from 1 species